CUCUAUAGUUCCUUCCUUUUAAAGUAAUCAUUUAAAUAUAAAAUAAUGAGUUUUUUUAAUGCUUUGGAAAAAAUGUUAAAUUUCUAAGUUUUCUUUUAGCUUUGAAUUUUUAUCUUUCAAAUUCAAUUUACAGCUUAUAAAGUACUUCUGUGUAUAUUAGCAUAUUUGGCCCUUACCAGAUGACAGUAAAAUAGCAAAAGCAGUAGUAUUAUUAUUAUUCCCAGCAACUUUAUUUUAUAAUUAAGAAAACUGGGAGUUCCCAUUGUGGCUCAGUGGUUAACUAAUCCGACUAAGAACCAUGAGGUUGUGGGUUCAAUCCCUGGCCUUGCUCAGUGGGUUAAGGAUCUAGCAUUCCUGUGAGCUGUGGUGUAGGUUGCAGACGCAGCUCGGAUCCCACGUUGCUGUGGCUGUGGUGUAGGCUGGCAGCUGUAGCUCCGAUUAGACCCCUAGCCUGGGAAGCUCCACGUGCCGCAAGAGUGGCCCUAGAAAAGGCAAAAAACAAAAAAAGGAAAGAAAAGAAAACUGAAACUUAAAAAGGUAAAGCAAUUUAUAUAAGGUCAUACAGCCAGUCAGUGAGAAAUCUCUAGGUCAAUAUCAUUUUCCCCACCAGCAAACAAAUUACUUUUCCCAAGUGAGUCUUUAAAAGUCAAUAAGAAAUGCACAUUGAAGAGACAUGCAAAAAAUCUGUUUAUUUUUAAUCAUCAUAGAUUUAGUAGUAUAAAAAAUGAGAUAGAAAAAUGAAGUAUCUGUAUAAUAAAAUCCUAACAUUAUAUGAAAAUAUGUUAUUCAUAAGUCUGAAAGACUAAAAAUGAUUGUACCAAACAAUAAUAGUGAGUAUCUCUGAAUGGCAAAAUUGGAGAUGAUUUUUUCAUUCAUUUUUCUCUAAUUUUUUUGUACUCUGCAAAUUUUCAGCAAUUAGUAAGGAUUAACUCUCAUCAAAAAAAUAAACAUUUCAAGCUAUUUUUAAUAAAGUGCUAUAAAUAUGUGGUUUAUUCUCACCCGUGAUUAUCGUAUUUGGUUUCAUUUCAGUUUUUUGGUUUGGUUUUGUUGCAUUUCCCUUUUUCACUUUAGUUUACAAUUUCAACUUUAGUUUCUAAUUUGAAGCAAGGAGUAUUUAGGAGAUAGUCUCUUUUUUGGGGUAGAUGUUUUUACCCAAAUUUUUCAUUUCAGUAUUUGUUUGUUG
rnacentral:lncRNA from 9 species